CCACAAUGGCGGACGUGAACUCUCUCGGCAAAUAGUACGGGCGCAUCCCCACGGCCAACAGUUCAAUGUUCGGGCUACAGAAGCGCUCCUUCACGCACACAUGGUCCGGAUGGCACCACCGUUCAUUCACAUAAACAGCGAUCCCGCCCCCCCUCUUCUUACCGCUCUGUGUAGCGUCUCUGUCAGCCCGAACAGUUCUGAAGCCGGGCAAAGACGCGCUGUGAUCCGGAUAGUCCGCGUGCAGCCACGUCUCAGUGAAACACAGGAGGCUGCUCUCACGGAAGAUCCUCUCAGACAUUACCAGCGCGCCGAGCUCAUCCGUCUUAUUCGCCAAAGACCUCACGUUCCCCGUUAUGAUCGACGGUACCGAGGGUUUGUAUCUCCUCGUUUUAGCCCUCCGCUUGACACCCGAUCUGCAACCGCGAGCCCUUCUCCGUAGCUCCAGCGGGAUCACAUGUCUGUCUCCAGGCAGAAGCUUCGGCCUGCACAGCGCGAUCAGCUGAGCACGCGAGUAGACGACGGUCCCCGUCAUUGUUUUGCUGCAGGCUCUCCGAUACUCACGACAAAGUGAACAAAAGCCACAGUAGAAUUAUCGAAAAAAGUAGUUAUGGUCCAGUGUCCGACCGUAACUAAGACAAACGUGAAAGAAAAGAAAAAGAAAAAGAGAGGAAAAGUGCAAAAAAAAGACAAUAAAAUAAUAAGCAAAACGCCACUACUGAAACAAGCAGCCGUUGGCACAGCGCUUCCUCAUCCCAGGUACAGACACUAAGUCUGCAUGGGUACUAUAGGUACAGACACUAAGUCUGCAUGGGUACCAGGUACAGACACUAAGUCUGCAUGGGUACUAUAGGUACAGACACUAAGUCUGCAUGGGUACCAGGUACAUACACUAAGUCUGCAUGGAUACUAUAGGUACAGACACUAAGUCUGCAUGGGUACUAUAGGUACAGACACUAAGUCUGCAUGGGUACUAUAGGUACAGACACUAAGUCUGCAUGGGUACCAGGUACAGACACUAAGUCUGCAUGGGUACUAUAGGUACAGACACUAAGUCUGCAUGGGUACCAGGUACAUACACUAAGUCUGCAUGGAUACUAUAGGUACAGACACUAAGUCUGCAUGGGUACUAUAGGUACAGACACUAAGUCUGCAUGGGUACUAUAGGUACAGACACUAAGUCUGCAUGGGUACCAGGUACAGACACUAAGUCUGCAUGGGUACUAUAGGUACAGACACUAAGUCUGCAUGGAUACUAUAGGUCCAGACACUAAGUCUGCAUGGGUACCAGGGACAGACAUUAAGUCUGCAUGGGUACCAGGUAUAGACACUAAGUCUGCAUGGGUACUAUAGUUACAGACACUAAGUCUGCAUGGGUACCAGGUACAGACACUAAGUCUGCAUGGGUACCAGGUACAGACACUAAGUCUGCAUGGAUACCAGGUACAGACACUAAGUCUGCAUGGGUACUAUAGGUACAGACACUAAGUCUGCAUGGGUACCAGGUACAGACACUAAGUCUGCAUGGGUACUAUAGGUACAGACACUAAGUCUGCAUGGGUACCAGGUACAGACACUAAGUCUGCAUGGAUACUAUAGGUACAGACACUAAGUCUGCAUGGGUACUAUAGGUACAGACACUAAGUCUGCAUGGGUACUAUAGGUACAGACACUAAGUAUGCAUGGGUACUAUAGGUACAGACACUAAGUCUGCAUGGGUACUAUAGGUACAGACACUAAGUCUGCAUGGAUACCAGGUACAGACACUAAGUCUGCAUGGGUACUAUAGGUACAGACACUAAGUCUGCAUGGGUACCAGGUACAGACACUAAGUCUGCAUGGAUACUAUAGGUACAGACACUAAGUCUGCAUGGGUACCAGGUACAGACACUAAGUCUGCAUGGAUACUAUAGGUACAGACACUAAGUCUGUAUGGGUACUAUAGGUACAGACACUAAGUCUGCAUGGGUACCAGGUACAGACACUAAGUCUGCAUGGAUACUAUAGGUACAGACACUAAGUCUGCAUGGGUACCAGGUACAGCCACUAAGUCUGCAUGGGUACUAUAGGUACAUACACGAAGUCUGCAUGGAUACUAUAGUUACAGACACUAAGUCUGCAUGUAUACCAGGUACAGACACUAAGUCUGCAUGGAUACUAUAGGUACAGACACUAAGUCUGCAUGGGUACCAGGUACAGACACUAAGUCUGCAUGGAUACUAUAGGUACAGACACUAAGUCUGCAUGGGUACUAUAGGUACAGACACUAAGUCUGCAUGGAUACCAGGUACAGACAC